GCGGGUGUAGUGUAGUCUGGCUAUCACUCAAGCUUGCCAAGCUUGUAACCCGGGUUCAAAUCCCGGCACCCGCA
rnacentral:tRNA from 1 species